rnacentral:rRNA from 1 species
UUAGGCUGUCAUCUUGUGAAAGCUCAGAAGCUAAUCAGGAUCAGGCCAGGUUGAUACUUGGAUAGGAAACUGCUCAGAAAUACUAGGUGCUGUCGAUG